CGCGCAGGCGGCUCUUUAAGUCAGGUGUGAAAGGCUGCGGCUCAACCGCAGAGCGGCACCUGAAACUGGGGAGCUUGAGUGCAGGAGAGGGGAGCGGAAUUCCCGGUGUAGCGGUGGAAUGCGUAGAGAUCGGGAGGAACACCAGUGGCGAAGGCGGCUCUCUGGCCUGUAACUGACGCUGAGGCGCGAAAGCGUGGGGAGCAAACA
rnacentral:rRNA from 1 species